UAAUGAUGAUGAGGAUAACUUCUGAGCAUGCCCUUGAAUCUCUCCCAAGCUUGGUAGAGAUUUUAUCCAUCUUUCUGUUUGAAACUCUAUAUCACACUCCUAAAUCA
rfam:Capsicum annuum cultivar Zunla-1 chromosome 5, whole genome shotgun sequence